rnacentral:lncRNA from 1 species
ACCAUGCAAACCCCGACUACUCCGGAUCGCGAGGAUCAUUAAGGUGGCAACGCUCCCAAUAGAGUUUUAUCCGAAUCCAGGAUCGAACCCUCGACCUUUAAUUAAGGGUAGAGCAGCCCCAUCCACUGCACCAUGCAAACCCCGACUACUCCGGAUCGCGAGGAUCAUUAAGGUGGCAGCGCUCCCAACAGAGUAGUUUUCUCAAUAUCCAAUGUCGAAUCUUUUAAUUAAGGAUGGAGCAACCUCAUCUAUUGCACCAUGUGAGCCCCGACUAAUCCUCCCAACAAAAUUUUCUCCGUACCCAAGAUCGAACCGUCGACCUCAAAAUUUUCUUUGUACCCAAGAUCAAACCCUUACCUUUGAUUAAGGGUGGAGCAGCCCAUCACUGCACCAUGCGAGCCUCAACUAAUUCAAAUCGUGCAGUGCAGAGCCAUUAAGAUGGCAACGCUCCCAACAGAAUUUUCUCCAUAUCCAAGGUCGAGUCCUCGACCUCUAAUUAAGGAUGGAGCAGAUCCAUCCAUUACACCAUGCAAGCCAGACUAAUUCAAAUUGUGGAACCAUUAAGGUGACAACACUCCCAGCAGAAUUUUCUCCGUAUCCAAGAUCGAAUCGUGAUUAAAGAUGAAACAACCCAUCCACUGCACAGCAACCCAUAUUAAUACUAUAUGCAUUCAUCCACCUCCUCCGCAGCAUUCCCCAAUAUAACCUAGACUAAACACAAUAUAAACUAAGAUAUAUAAUAUAUACAAAUAUAUUCUUUAAAAAAAAAAGGCGAUUUUAUUUAUUUAUCAAACAAAGGUGUAACACAGGUAACAAAUCCAUACACCAAACAUUAGCAAAUUCAUUAAAUAUUUACAUUAACAAUUUACCUCAUUCAAAAUCAAAUCCUAAAUUCAAGGAUCAGCAUUCGGGUUCAGGUUCGGGUUCGGGUUCUUUUCUUCGGGUUCUUCAAAAUUCAGGUCAUUGGCAUCAACAUCAACAAGAACAACAUUUUCAUCUUCCUUCUUGGCCCAAUAACUUCCAUCACCGGCCCAUGUAAACUUACCACCAUAGCCCCCUUUUUUCGGUGAUCCAUUCAUUCCACUAGCCGAUCUACGAUCCUUCCUACCAUCUUGUUGGCUUGAUUUUGGGCUAUUUUUGCAAUUUUUUGAUGUGUUUUUCAUUGUGGAGAAUGAUUUUUCAGAGUGAUAUUUUUGUGUGUAUAAUUUUGAUGGCUUUAUGGAAAGACAAUAUAUAGAGGAAAAUGAGAUGAUAUUUAUGUUUUGGUCCUUCAUGUAUUGAUAAUUUAUGAGUUUAGUCCUUGUAAUGUUUGAUCAAAUAUAUAUUACACAAAUGAAUUUUUCUGUAACGACAGUG